CUAGCUAAUGACAUGUUUGAUGAGUACCUCGUGAGACAUGCUGAACUAGAGUUGGAGUAGGAUGUGUGGGUCAACUAGAUAAUGGUGUACGUUCUCUUUUGUGCUAGCUAGUUGAUAUGGCUUUGCUAGGAUGUGUGGGUCAGCACUGCAUGGACUUUGCUUGUGUGAUAGCCUAGCUUGCUAAUGGUACCUUUUGGGUAUUUUGUACAUGCCUCAUAUUAAGAAAUUAAUAUAAUAUAUAUAUAUAUAUAUGUGUGUGUGAUAUUACCUUGCUGUCUUUGUGUUUCAAUUUACAUGCAUCUUACGUUGUCUUUGUGUUUGGAUAUUAUGUGCAUGCAUUUUCUUGUAGGACCAUGGCUGAAGAAGGUGGAAAAAAUUUUGGUAGAAAUUACCUCACAUGGACAGAUGAAAUGGACAUUGCACUACUGGAGGUCCUUGUUGAGCAUCACAACAAUGGUGAUCAUGCCUAGAAUGGAUGGAAGUCCCAUGUCUACAGUGCUGUUAUAGGUAAUGUGCGUGAGAAGUGCAAUGUGACCAUCACAAAGGAAAACAUAAGUUCAAGGUGCAAAACCUUUGAAAAGCACUAUGAGGCCAUUAGCAAGAUGCUUUCUCAAAGUGGAUUUGGGUGGGAUUGGAUCAAUAACAAGCUGUCAAUUGAUAGUGAAGAUGUGUGGAUUAAAUAUGUCGCGGUAAGAAAUUUAUCCGUUUCACAUUUUGAUUGUAUUGCACAUAUGUAAGAUAUACCUUUCUUUGACAACUCUCUUUGUGUGUGUGUGUGUGUGUGCAGGCUAACAAGAAAGUGGGAUUUUACAAGAACAAGGUCAUUAAAAAUUGGGAUGCUAUCACCACCAUAUACUCAAAAGAUCAUGCAAAUGGUGAAGGUGUUGUCACAAGUGCUGAAACUGUUGUAGAACCAACUAUGGAACCCAAUGAAGCCUCUCCUGAAGUGCCACACAAAAAACAGCGGACCGGUGAUGCCAUCCUGUGCCUACUUGGGGAUAUGAAAGGCUCAUUUAAUGAUGCUUUGAAGUCACUUGAGCCUUUACCUCUUCCCCAAGUUACACCUCCUGCUGAAAUCCUCGCGACACUUGAGAUGAUCCUUGAUUUGGCUCGUGGUGACAUAUUGCGACCUUAUGGUAAGUUGAUCCUUAGCGAACGCUUGUACCAAGCGCUUCUUGAGCUUCCCAUGAACUUCAGGAAGGAAUGGUUGUUGAUGUUGGAAUAGUAGAAUGGCUCUUGAUAGAUAAUAUGUAUGUGUACUGCUACUUUUAGUUCUCCUAGUGUGUGUGAGACUUUUGAACUUGUCCUAAAGUUGCAUGGUUGAUGCAUAAGACUUGUUAUGUGUUCUGGAUGAUGUGAGACAUGUUAUAAUGUGUAAUGGUGUUGGCAAGGCUAUCAUAAUAUGCUGCUGCUACCUACAGUUUUGAGCCUAUUUUUCACGCUUUUGAAUAGUUCAUGUUGUCCAAUGCAUGAUUAUAUGGUCCUGUUGCCUAUCUACACUUUUCAGCCUAUUUUUCAUGUAUUUUGGACAAUUGAUGUUGUCUGUACCAAUUUUUAAAUUAUUUGCAUGUGAUUUUAUUGUAUUAUAAUACAUAAUCUCAAGUAUAUGGCAUGACGAUCAGAUUUCAUUUCGAAACUUGUACAAGCAAUUAUUAUAUUGUCCAUACACUUCACAAUGUCCAAUUCUACACUAUGGGCAUCCAAACAAGAUUUGGCAUUGCUCCGUCCCUUGAAUUCCAAGUGCCCAAUACAAGAACAUCCAAACACAAAGUGUGGCAUUGCAGCUCAAUACCAAUGCCUUGGGAUAUUAGGCAUUGGAGCCAAUGCAAUACCAAGGUCUUCAAUGUCUACAUCCAAACAUAGCGUAAUAAUAGUUGGGGUCAUACUGAGAUGCAGCGGCUAUCGCCUCCUGAGCUGCAGCGUGGCGACGAGCGGCCUCCGCUCUCCUCUCGUACUCAUAUGCCUCCUUCUGGUAAUACUAUAUCCUCCUCUUUCUUGAUAAUCAAAGAAAGCGGGAGCAGGGAGAGUAAUAUGGACAGCACGACGUCUGUCAAAGAUUAGUCGGUACUGGAGAGGUGAUUCGUUCCUCUCGACAAAGUGGUAGGAAACCAUAUAAUCAAAAUCUAAACAAGCAGGAGGCAACUCCAUGUCUCCUUCACGAAUGUCUAUCUCAAGAAAUUUGGCUAAGCGGGUUGCAUAAAUUCCUCCAAAGAAAUCUCCAUUAUGUCUAUUAUGAUGCAACCUACGAGCUACAAUGGCUCCCAUAUGAUAAGAUUGGUCUCCUGACACAGCACUCCUGAGAAUGCUAAGGUCAGGGACACACAUGUGACAUGCUUCAUCCUUAGCAUUUAUGCACCUACCUAUGAAGAGAGCAAAAUAAUGUAUAGCAGGAAAGUGAAUGCUCCCUAUGGUAGCUUGCGUUAUAUCUCUGGAUUCCCCUACAUUUAUACCAGAAAGAAAGUUUCUAAAUUCAGAUUUAGGGGGAUCCCUAACACUACCCCAUUGUGGAAGUUUGCAAGCAAGAGUGAAAUCCUCUAGGUCCAUGGUAUAAGAUUUAUCAUAAAGAUCAAACAUGACUGAAGGAGAAUUAUGUGAAGAUGAAUAGUCAAACCUCCUCACAAAAGAGCUUGUGAGCUCAUGAUACUGGGGGCAUUUGUCUGCCUCAAAGUCCUCAAGAUUGGCAUUACGCAAAUAUGCGUUAAAUUCUUCUUUAAUUCCCGCUUGAUCCAUAAAAUUUUCAGAAGGCCACUCACAAGGAUGCACUAGAGCGUCUCUUGGUGGCUCUUCGUCAGCAUCACACAUUGCAAGCCUGGGUCCUUGCUUCUUUGAAGAACCACCUUGGAACAUUUUCCUAAGCAUAUUUCUUUCUCUGAAAAAUCUGAAAAAAAAAUAGUAACUUCAAAAUAAAAGUAAACCAAACUCAAUAAUAUUGAUAGCAACUACUCCUACAAGUGCCUAGGGCCUAUAUCAUGCAUCAAAGCUACUUUUGACCAUAUAAAUUUGACAUGCAAGCUCAAGAACAGGGUCACCUAAGCAACACAAAUUUGCAAUGAAUAAAGCACUAGAACAAAAACUAAUUGGACCAAUGGAGGAGUCACAUACCAAGGAACAAUCUCCCGAAGCAGUUUUGUGAGAGGUGCUUUGAGCAAGGAGAUCGAAAAUGGCAGCAAAACGACCUUGGACUCGGGUUUGAGUUGGUUUUUCGUGUUUGGGGGAGGAAGAUGAAGUGUGUGGCUAGAAGAAUAAGUGGAGGAGGGCCACCGUGGGCCCACGAGGCAGGGGGCGCGCCCUAGGGGGGUGGGCACGCCCUCCACCCUCGUGGCAAGGUGGUUGGCCUCCCUGGUGUGUUCUUUGUUCCAUAAAUCCUCAAAUAUUCUAUAAAAAUCAUAUUUAAUUUUCGGGGCAUUUGGAGAACUUUUAUUUUCAAGGUAUUUUUAUAUUGCACGGAUAAUCAGAUAACAGACAGAAAAUUAUUUAUUUUUACUUUAUUUCAACUAAAUAACAUAAAGUAUAGAGAGGGUACAGAAGGUUGUGGUUCUAGUUUCAUCCAUCUCAUGCUCGUCAAAAGGAAUCCACUAACAAGGUUGAUCAAGUCUUGUUAACAAACUCAUUCCGAUUAACAUGAAACCGGAGAAAUUUCGAAUAACACUAGGUUACCUCAACAGGGAUAUGCACAUCCCCAAUAAUAAGUAUAUCAUAUUUCUUCUUGACAGUAGGAAGAGGAAAUUCAAAACCUCCAAAUAUAAUCGAUGGAAUUUUUCCAAUAGAAUUGAUACUAUGAACUUGAGGUUGUUUCCUAGGAAAGUGUACCAUAUGCUCAUUACCAUUAACAUGAAAAGUGACAUUGCCUUUGUUGCAAUAAAUAACAGCCCCCGCAAUAUUAAGAAAAGGUCUUCCAAGGAUAAUUGACAUACUAUCGUCCUCGGGAAUAUCAAGAAUAACAAAGUCCAUUAAAAUAGUAACGUUUGCAACCACAACAGGCACAUCCUCACAAAUACCGACGGGUAUAGAAGUUGAUUUAUCAGCCAUUUGCAAAGAUAUUUCAGUAGGUGUCAACUUAUUCAAAUCAAGUCUACGAUAUAAAGAGAGAGGCAUAACACUAACACCGGCUCCAAGAUCACAUAAAGCAGUUUUAAAAUAGUUUCUUUUAAUGGAGCAUGGUAUAGUAGGUACUCCUGGAUCUCCAAGUUUUUGGUAUUCCACCCUUAAAAGUAUAAUUAGCAAGCAUGCUGGAAAUUUCAGCUUCCGGUAUCUUUCUUUUAUUUGUAAUAAUAUCUUUCAUGUACUUAGCAUAAGGAUUUGUUUUGAGUAUAUCAGUCAAUCGCAUACGCAAAACUAUAGGUCUAAUCAUUUCAGCAAAGCGUUCAAAAUCCUCAUCAUCCUUUUUCUUGGAUGGUUUGGGAGGAAAAGGCAUGGGUUUCUGAACCCAAGUUUCUCUUUCUUUACCAUGUUUCCUAGCAACAAAGUCUUUCUUAUCAUAACGUUGAUUCUUUGAUUGUGGGUUAUCAAGAUCAACAGCAGGUUCAAUUUCUACAUCAUUAUCACUACUAGGUUGAGCAUUAAUAUGAACAUCAUCAUUAACAUUUUCAUUAGGUUCAUGUUCAUUACCAGAUUGUGUUUCAGCAUCAGACAUAGAGAUAUCAUUUGGAUUAUCAGGUGGUUCAGCAAUAGGUUCACUAGAAGUUUGCACAAUUCUAUCAUUUUUCUUUUUCUUCUUUUUAGAAGAACUAUAUGCAUCAAUUUUAUUUCUCUGAGAAUCUUGCUUAAUUCUCUUAGGGUGGCCUUCAGGAUACAAAGGUUCCUGAGUCAUUCUACCAGUUCUAGUAGCCACUUUAACAGCAUAAUCAUUUUUCUUACUAUUCAUCUCAUUGAGCAAUUCUUUUUGAGCUUUAAGUACUUGUUCUACUUGAGUGGUAACCAUAGAAGCAUGUUUGCUAACAAGUUUAAGUUCAUCUCUAAUAUUAGCCAUAUAAUCACCCAAGUAUUUAAUCAUAUCAGCAUCUUGUUUUAAUUGUCUACCAAAAUAAGCAUUGAAGUCUUCUUGCUUAAACAUAAAAUUAUCAAACUCAUCCAAGCAUUGACUAGCAAUUUUAGUAGGAGGGAUUUCAGCUUUAUCAUAUCUAUAGAGAGAAUUUACCUUUACUACCUGUGUCGGGUUAUCGAGGUCUGGAGGUUCUUCAAUAAAUAAAGGAUUAAGAUCAUAUAUUUCUUCAUCAGGCGGUAAAUUAAGACCAUGUAUUUCUUCAAUAGGAGGUAAAUUCUUAACAUCUUCAGCUUUAAUACCUUUUUCUUUCAUAGAUUUCUUUGCCUGUUGCAUAUCUUCAGGACUGAGAAAUAGAACACCUCUCUUCUUCGGAGUUGGUUUAGGAAUAGGAUCAUUAAUUGGAGCAGGAGCUGGCUCAAGAGGUGCCCAAUUAUUUUCAUUUGUCAACAUAUUAUUCAAUAAGAUUUCAGCUUCAUCCGGUGUUCUUUCCCUGAAAAGAGAACCAGCACAACUAUCCAGGUAAUCUCUGGAAGCAUCGGUUAGUCCAUUAUAAAAGAUAUCAAGUAUUUCAAUUUUCUUAAGAGGAUGAUCAGACAAAGCAUUAAGUAACUUGAGAAGCCUCCCCCAAGCUUGUGGGAGACUCUCUUCUUUAAUUUGCACAAAGUUGUAUAUUUCCUUUAAAGCAGCUUGUUUCUUAUGAGCAGGGAAAUAUUUAGCAGAGAAGUAGUAAAUCAUAUCCUGGGGACUACGCACACAACCAGGAUCAAGAGAAUUAAACCAUAUCUUAGCAUCACCCUUUAAUGAGAACAGAAAUAUUUUAAGGAUAUAAAAGUAGCGAGAUCUCUCAUCAUUAGUGAACAGGGUGGCUAUAUCAUUUAAUUUAGUAAGAUGUGCUACAACAAUUUCAGAUUCAUAGCCAUGAAAAGGAUCAGAUUCAACCAAAGUAAUUAUAUUAGGAUCAAUAGAGAAUUCAUAAUCCUUAUCAGCAACACAUAUGGGUGAAGUAGCAAAAUCAGGGUCAGGUCUCAUCCUAGCAUUUGGAGAUUGCUUACUCCAUUUAGCUAAUAACCUUUUGCGUUCAUAUCUAUCUUUGCAGGCUAAAAUAGCUAAAGAAGCAUCUUGAUCAAAUCAAUAACCCUCAAGAAUAACAAGUGAUUCUUCAUCAUCACUUUCAUCUUCAUAAUCAAGAUUCAAUAUUUUCAACCUCUCUAGCCCUAGCAAGUCGUUCCUCUAGAAAAUCACUAAGUGGCAUAGUAGUAUCAGGCAUAGAGGUAGUUUCAUCAUAAGUAUCAUGCAUAGCAGAAGUAGCAUCAUCAAUAACAUGCGACAUAUCAGAACGAAUAGCAGAAGCAGAUGUAGGUGUCGCAAGCUUACUCAUAACAGAAGGUGAAUCAAGUGCAGAGCUAGAUGGCAGUUCUUUACCUCCCCUCGUAGUUGAGGGAUAGAUCUUAGUUUUUGGAUCUCUCAAGUUCUUCAUAGUGUCCAGCAGAUAUAAAUCCCAAGUGACUCAAAGAAUAGAGCUAUGCUCCCCGGCAACGGCGCCAGAAAUUAGUCUUGAUAACCCACAAGUAUAGGGGAUCGCAACAGCUUUCGAGGAUAGAGUAUUCAACCCAAAUUUAUUGAUUCGACACAAGGGGAGCCAAAGAAUAUUCUCAUGUAUUAGUAGCUGAGUUGUCAAUUCAACCACACCUGGAAACUUAGUAUCUGCAGCAAGGUGUUUAGUAGCAAAGUAAUUUGAUAGUGAUGGUAAUGGUAACAAAAGAGUAAUGAAAGCAAAGUAAUGUUUUUGGUAUUUUGUAGUGAUUGUAACAAUAGCAACGAGAAAGUAAAUAAGCGUAAACAGUAUAUGGAAAGCUCGUAGGCAUCGGAUCAAUGAUGGAUAAUUAUGCCGGAUGUGGUUCAUCAUGUAACAGUCAUAACAUAGGGUGACACAGAACUAGCUCCAAUUCGUCAAUGUAAUGUAGGCAUGUAUUCCGAAUAUAGUCAUAUGUGCUUAUGGAAAAUAACUUGCAUGACAUCUUUUGUCCUACCCUCCCGUGGCAGCGGGGUCCUAAUGGAAACUAAGGGAUAUUAAUGUCUCCUUUUAAUAGAGAAUCGGAACAAAGCAUUAACACAUAGUGAAUACAUGAACUCCUCAAACUACGGUCAUCACCGGUAAGUAUCCCGAUUAUUGUCACUUCGGGGUUAACGGAUCAUAACACAUAAUAGGUGACUAUAGACUUGCAAGAUAGGAUCUAGAACUCUCAUAUAUUGAUGAAAACAUAAUAGGUUCAGAUCUGAAAUCAUGGCACUCGGGCCCUAGUGAUAAGCAUUAAGCAUAGCAAAGUCAUAGCAACAUCAAUCUCAGAACAUAGUGGAUACGAGGGAUCAAACCCUAACAAAACUAACUCGAUUACAUGGUGAAUCUCAUCCAACCCAUCACCGUCCAGCAAGCCUACGAUGGAAUUACUCAUGCACGGCGGUGAGCAUCAUGAAAUUGGUGAUGGAGGAUGGUUGAUGAUGACGCCGGCGAUGAUUCCCCCUCCCCGGAGCCCCGAACGGACUCCAGAUCAGCCCCCGAGAGGUUUUAGGGCUUGGCGGCGGCUCUGUAUCAUAAAACGCGAUGAUUUCUUCUCUCCUAUUGUUUUCUCCUCGAAAGCAGUUAUAUAGAGUUGGAGUUGGAGUCGGGGGGUCUCCAAGGGGCCCACAAGGUAGGGGGCGCGCCCUAGGGGGGCGCCCCCCACCCUCGUGAGAAGGGUGUGGGCCCCCUGGUCUUCUUCUUUGGCGAGGAUUUUUUAUUAUUUAUUGUAAGAUAUCCCAUGGAGUUUCAGGUCAUUCCGAGAACUUUUGUUUUCUGCACAUAAAACAACAUCAUGGCAAUUCUGCUGAAAACAGCGUCAGUCCGGGUUAGUUCCAUUCAAAUCAUACAAGUUAGAGUCCAAAACAAGGGCAAAAGUGUUUGGAAAAGUAGAUACGUUGGAGACGUAUCACAACCUCACUCUGCAGCCGAACCAGUGAACCCUCGUACUCCUCUGCGCGCGGGCUUCCACUGCCGCGUCUUCCCCGGUUCUGCGUCGUCCCCUUCCUAGGCCUCGCCGUCGUCCACCGCCAUGGUGCUCUCCGCGCGGCGUGGUCAACGUGGUCAAGGAACGACUUCCAUCGGAAGAGUACUAUACGUUGAGAGGCUGACAGCUGGGUCCACGGCCAUAGCCCAGUUUUUUUGUGAUUUGCCAAGUAAGUCGCUUUGUCAGGCCUGUUGGCUUGCUAAUCUUUCAAGACAAGGAGAGCUUUCAUUCGGCUGACCGAGAAAAUGGGCCAUCAGUAAUGAGAAAUGGGUUGUACAUUUUUAAAACACAUCAAACCGGCAAUUAGUUUCAAAUAUCUUUUUCUUUCAUUUCAAGAUUUUAAAUUACAUUAAUUUUUAUGCGUGGGGAAUUUGUUAGAUUUUAUAUUGAUAUAAAUUUAUUUUUAAAAUCAAUUUGAAUGUGAGUCGAAAUUUCGGAAUUAAAAACAGUUCGGACCGCACCGAAAUAUGCAAAAUUUCGUAUAAUUUUUUAACCGUGGCCACAAUAUGGGCUGUAAUGCUAACAAAAAGAAUAUGGGCUCCAAAAAAACCUUAAGAAUUAGCAAAUGGGCUGUAAAUUAUUAGAAAUAAUUGCAGAUGGGUUGUAUGCUGUUUUCCACAGAUUUGAGGCUUUCCUAAAAAAAAGGUUGACGCACAAGCACUGACUGUUGGAUGUCCAUCCAACGGCCAUCGUGCUUCUUCAAUCUUUGCUCUUCCUGCUCCAGCCGCUCAAACAAAGCGCCGGCGGGACUGCCUGCUCCCUCCUCCCCGCGGCCGGCUGUGCUGCCGCGCAGGCCUCACCGCCCCACCGUACUCCCAUCGCUGGCCUAGCCAUCCCUCUACUCACCCACACCUGCUGUUAUUCUUCGGCGACGGCAGACGAACCAGUAAACCCUCGUACAGUCGUACUCCCCUCCGCGUGGGAAACAACUGCCGAGUCUUCCCUGCCUUCAUGUCGUCCCCUUACCAGGCCUCGCCGUCGUCCACCGCCGUGGUUCUCUCGAUGCGGCAUGGUCAAUGUGGUCAACGAUCAACUUCCAUCGAAAGAGUACUGUGCGUGGAGACGCUGACAGCUGGUCCACGACCGCAGCAAGGAAGUGCCUCCUUAUUACACGCAAAAUAAUUAUUCCUCCACCUGACAGCGGGGACCCACUGGACGGGCCACCGUAUUUCGCCAAAAAAAUGUUUCCCCCCUGACUGCUGGGACCCACCAGCUACACCUUCUCACGCAAGGAAGUGCGCCUGGGCAAAAAAACAAAACGAUUCGCCCCCCCUGACUGUUGGGACCCACCAUCUACAUCUUCGCACGCAAGGAAGUGCCUCACAGACGGGACCCACCUGGUUGAAGCGUACGUAGCAUUGUCAUUCUAGUCGCGAACAUGUACGCACAUAUAUACUGGUGGAUGUAGAGGCACACACGUGUCGUAGUAGAGGCGCGCACGUAGCAUGUACAUGUAUGUACAAUGGCCAGGGCGCAAGAAAGAAAAUACGGCCACGUAUGUGUACAUACGGGCGGGGUCUCGAACGCCUACUCGCGCAUACGUACGGCCAGGGCUCAUUGACAUGGCUGGGUCGGAACGGAGAAACAGCGUCGUCGUCGUGUUCAUGGGGAGGCAACGGAUGCGUCGUGUUCAUGGGGAGGCAACAGAAUGCGUUGUGUUCAUCGGGAGGCAACGGAACGCGUGGGAGCCAACCGGCUGGGUCGGAACGGAAUGCAUGGUCGUGUUCAUCGGGAGGGCUUGGACAGAACAGGCGAUGGAAACGAGGCCUGGCGUACCGCACAACGGAGGAAACGGCCUUGUGUUCAACCAGCUACGUUCGAAACGGGAUCCUGUUCAUCGAGAGGGGUCUGGCGUACCGCAAAACGGACGAAACAGACCUCUUACGGUCGAAACGGGGGUCCUGUUGAUCGGGAGGGGUGUGGCAUACCGCAAAAUGGACGAAACGGACUUGUGUUGGAGCGCUACGGUCGAAACGGGGGUCCUGUUCAUCGGAAGGGGUGUGGCGUACCGCAAAACGGGACUCCACAUGAUACUGUUCAUCUCCACCGUCGACCUCCUCCAGCCUCCACGGGCUACCGUCGACCUCCUCCAGCCUCCAUGGGCUCCUGUUCAUCCAGCCUCCACCGCGUGCUACUCCACUGGCUACUGUUCAACCACCCCUCCACGGGCACCCCUCCACCGUCUACUGUUCAUCCAGCCCUCCACACCACGGGGUCCUGUUCAACCACCCCUCCACGGGCACCCCUCCAUCGUCUACUGUUCAUCCAGCCCUCCACACCACGGNNNNNNNNNNNNNNNNNNNNNNNNNNNNNNNNNNNNNNNNNNNNNNNNNNNNNNNNNNNNNNNNNNNNNNNNNNNNNNNNNNNNNNNNNNNNNNNNNNNNNNNNNNNNNNNNNNNNNNNNNNNNNNNNNNNNNNNNNNNNNNNNNNNNNNNNNNNNNNNNNNNNNNNNNNNNNNNNNNNNNNNNNNNNNNNNNNNNNNNNNNNNNNNNNNNNNNNNNNNNNNNNNNNNNNNNNNNNNNNNNNNNNNNNNNNNNNNNNNNNNNNNNNNNNNNNNNNNNNNNNNNNNNNNNNNNNNNNNNNNNNNNNNNNNNNNNNNNNNNNNNNNNNNNNNNNNNNNNNNNNNNNNNNNNNNNNNNNNNNNNNNNNNNNNNNNNNNNNNNNNNNNNNNACCCCUCCACGGGCACCCCUCCAUCGUCUACUGUUCAUCCAGCCCUCCACCACACCACGGGGUCCUGUUCGUCCAGAGGCAACGCCACCGCUCACUGUUCAUCCAAACCCCCCGCAACACUCACUUUUCAUCUCAGAGGCACAUCAAUCGGCUUCAGUUAGCAGCAGUAGCAAAGGAAUUGCUCGAUCGGGUUCAGUUAAUAGCCAUCGAUAGAUCGCUCGGGUUCAGUAACGCGUAGCCUGCAGUACAAUCGCUCGGGUUCAGUUAGAUCCCAACGCCUCACUUGGGUUCAGUUAGAGCCAACGCCUCGCACACACGCGCGUACGUGUACGAGAGAAACGCGCAUCGCUCGGCCCCCGACCUCCCACCGUAACCGGGAACUCCCCGAAAGUUUCCUCCCCCUCGCUUCUACCACGGUUUUUUCCAUCAUGGACGGCCCAAAGAAUGUCAUGCAGCUACGUCUCCGGCCCGCUAGGACGAAAAUCCCAUUUUCUGUCAUGAUUUUUUGUCAUAGAAGUAGGAGCUCACUACAUCUAUGAUGAUACCGGGUUUUGUCACAAUUAUCGUCAUAGAAGUGUCAUAUGUAUGACAGAAAAAAAUAUCGUUCGGCCCAAAAUGUCAUGGAUGUGUCUUUUUUUUGUAGUGCAAGAUCAACAGUAGGUUCAAUUUCUAUAUCAUUAUCAUUACUAGGUUGAGCAUCAUCAUGAACAUUAUCAUUAACAUUAUCACUAGUUUCAGGUUCAUUACCAGAUUGUGUUUCAGAAUCAGAAAUAGAAAUAUCAUUUGGGUUCUUAGGUGGUUGAGCAAUAGGUUCACUAGAAGCAUGCAAAGUCCUAUCAUUUUUCUUUUUCUUCCUUUUAGAAGGACUAGGUGCAUCUAUAUUAUUUCUCUGAGAAUCUUGCUCAAUUCUCUUAUGGUGGUCUUCAGGAUACAAAGGUUCCUGAGUCAUUCUACCACCUCUAGUCAUAACUCUAACAUCAUUAUCAUUAUUCUUGCUAUUUAAUUCAUUGAGCAAAUCAUUUUGAGCUUUAAGUACUUGUUCUACUUGAGUGGUAACCAUAGAAGCAUGUUUACUAAUAAGUUUAAGUUCAUCUUUGACAUUAGCCAUAUAAUCACCCAAGUGUUUAAGCAUAUUUGAAUUGUAUUUCAAUUGUCUACCAAAGUAAGCAUUAAAAUAUUCUUGUGUUAGCCAUAAAUUUAUCAAACUCAUCUAAGCAUGGGCUAGCAAACUUAGUAAAUGGGAUUUCAGAUUUAUCAUAUCUAUAGAGAGAAUUUACCUUUACUACCUGUGUCGGGUUAUCAAGACCAUGAGUUUCUUCAAUGGGUUAAGGAUUAAGAUCAUAUGUUUCUUCAACAGGCGGUAGAUUAAGACCAUGUAUUUCUUCAAUAGGAGGUAAACUCUUAACAUCUUCAGCUUUAAUACCUUUUUCUUUCUUAGGUUUCUUUGCCUCUUGCAUAUCUUCAGGACUGAGAAAUAGAAUACCCCUCUUCUUCAGAGUUGGUUUAGGAAUAGGCUCAGGAAUUGGCUCCGGAGGUGUCCAAUUAUUUUCAUUUGUCAACAUAUUAUUCAAUAGAAUUUCAACUUCAUCCGGUGUUCUUUCCCUGAAAACAGAACCAACACAACUAUCCAGGUAAUCUCUGGAAGCAUCGGUUAGUCCAUUAUAAAAGAUAUCAAGUAUUUCAUUUUUCUUAAGAGGAUGAUCAGGCAAAGCAUUAAAUAAUUGGAGAAGCCUCCCCCAAGCUUGUGGGAGACUCUCUUCUUCAAUUUGCACAAAAUUAUAUAUAUAUCCCUUAAAGCAGCUUGUUUCUUAUGAGCAGGGAAAUAUUUAGCAGAGAAGUAAUAAAUCAUAUCCUGGGGACUACGCACACAACCAGGAUCAAGAGAAUUAAACCAUAUCUUAGCAUCACCCUUUAAUGAGAAAUAAAAUAUUAUAAGGAUAUAAAAGUAAUGAGUUCUCUCAUCAGUAGUGAAUAGGGUGGCUAUAUCAUUUAAUUUAGUGAGAUGUGCCACAAUAGUUUCAGAUUCAUACCCAUGAAAAUGAUCAGAUUCAACCAAAGUAAUUAUAUCAGGAUCAACAGAGAAUUCAUAAUCCUUAUUGGUAACACAGAUAGGUGAAGUAGCAAAAGCAGGGUCAGGUUUCAUUCUAGCAUUUAGAGAUUGCUUAUUCCAUUGAGCUAAUAACCUCUUGAGUUCGUAUCUAUCUUUGCAAGCUAAAAUAGCUAAAGAAGCUUCUUUAUCGAAAACAUAAUCCUCAAGAAUAACGGGCAAGUCUUCAUCAUCAAUUUCAUCAGUAUUAUCUGAUUCAAUAUUUUCAAUCUCUCUAGCCCUAGCAAGUUGGUCAUCAAGAAAUUCACCAAGUGGCACAGUAGUAUCAAGCAUAGAAGUAGUUUCAUCAUAAGUAUCAUGUAUAGCAGAAGUGGCAUCAUCAAUAACAUGCGACAUAUCAGAACAAAUAGCAGAAGCAGGUUUCGGUGUCGCCAGCUUACUCAAAACAGAAGGUGAAUCAAGUGCAGAGCUAGAUGGCAGUUCCUUACCUCCCCUCGUAGUUGAGGGAUAAAUCUUGGUUCUUGGAUCUUCCAAGUUCUUCAUAAUGAUAAGCAGAUAUAAAUCCCAAGUAACUCAAAGAAUAGAGCUAUGCUCCCCAGCAACGGCGCCAGAAAAUAGUCUUGAUAACCCACAAGUAUAGGGGAUCGGAACAGUUUUCGAGGGUAAAGUAUUCAACCCAAAUUUAUUGAUUCGACACAAGGGGAGCCAAAGAAUAUUCUCAAGUAUUAGCAGCUGAGUUGUCAAUUCAACCACACCUGGAAACAUAGUAUUUGAAGCAAAGUAUUUAGUAGCAAAGUAAUAUGAUAGUAGUGGUAACGGUAGCAAAAGGUAACAGUAGUAAAAGUAAUGUUUUUGGUAUUUUGUAGUGAUGAUAGCAAUAGCAACGGGAAAAUAAAUAAGCGAAGAACAAUAUAUGGAAAGCUCGUAGGAAAUGGAUCGGUGAUGGAGAAUUAUGCCGUAUGCGGUUCAUCAUGUAACAGUCAUAACAUAGGGUGACACAGAACUAGCUCUAGUUCAUCAAUGUAAUGUAGGCAUGUAUUCCGAAUAUAGUCAUACGUGCUUAUGGAAAAGAAUUUGCAUGACAUCUUUUGUCCUACCCUCCCGUGGCAGUGGGGUACUUAUGGAAACUAAGGGAUAUUAAGGCCUCCUUUUCAUAGAGUACCGGAACAAAGCAUUAACACAUAGUGAAUACAUGAACUCCUCAAACUACGGUCAUCACCGGUAAGUAUCCCGAUUAUUGUCACUACGGGGUUAACGGAUCAUAACACAUAAUAGGUGACUAUAGACUUGCAAGAUAGGAUCAAGAACUCUCAUAUAUUGAUGAAAACAUAAUAGGUUCAGAUCUGAAAUCAUGGCACUCGGGCCCUAGUGACAAGCAUUAAGCAUAGCAAAGUCAUAGCAACAUCAAUCUCAGAACAUAGUGGAUACUAGGGAUCAAACCCUAACAAAACUAACUCGAUUACAUGAUAGAUCUCAUCCAACCCAUCACCGUCCAGCAAGCCUGCGAUGGAAUUACUCACGCACAGCGGUGAGCAUCAUGAAAUUGGUGAUGGAGGAUGGUUGAUGAUGACGAUGGCGAUGGAUUCCCCUCUUCGGAGCCCCGAAUGGACUCCAGAUCAGCCGUCCCGAGAGGUUUUAGGGCUUGGCGGCGGCUCCGUAUCGUAAAACGCGAUGAAUUCUUUUCUCUGGGUUUUUUCUCCCCGAAACACAAUAUAUAGAGUUGGAGUUGGAGUCGGAGGAGCUCUAGGGGGCCCACGAGGUAGGAGCGUGCCCUAGGGGGCAGGCGCACCCCCCACCCUCGUGGACAGUUGGUGGGCCCUUUGGCCUUCAUCUUUUGAAGGUAUUUUUUAUAUUUUCCAAAAAGUUGCUCCGUGAAGUUUCAGGUCAUUCCGAGAACGUUUGUUUCUGCACAUAAAUAACACCAUGGUAAUUCUGCUGAAAACAGCGUCAGUCCGGAUUAGUUCCAUUCAAAUCAUGCAAGUUACUGUCCAAAACAAGGGCAAAAGUGUUUGGAAAGUAGAUACGAUGAAGACGUAUCAAAUAGCACUUUCCAAAUAAAAAUGGCAGCAGUUCUCGUGAGCGCUAAAGUUUCUGUUUUUUACAGCAGGAUUAACAAGACUUCCCCAAGUCUUCCCAACGGUUCUACUUGGCACAAACACUAAUUAAACACAAAAAACACAACCAAAACAGAGGCUAGAUAAAUUAUUUAUUACUAAACUGGAGCAAAAAGCAAGGAAUAGAAAUAAAAUUGGGUUGCCCCCCAACAAGCGCUAUCGUUUAACGCCCCUAGCUAGGCAUAAAAAGCAAGGAUAAAUCUAGGUAUUGCCAUCUUUGGUAGGUAAUUCUUCAAUGAGACAUCUAUCAUCCUUAGGAGUUUCUUUAUUUUUAUUGAUUAUCAAACUUUUAGGCACAAGAUCAAAAAAUUCAUUUGUAACAAAUGGUUCCUUAAUGAUAGCAAAAAGAUUGGGAUGAAUACUUAUAGAUUUAAGAUCCGCAGUUCCCUUACUAGAGGAUUCACCCUUAUUUUUAGGAACAUACAUAAGCUUGGCAAUUUUAGUAGGAGGACUUGGAGUAUUCUUUACAGAAGAAAAAGCGGUUCCCAAGUUGGUAAUAAUACCCUCAAGUUUAUCGAUUCUAGUGGAAUCCUAAUUUAUUUUCUCAUUAACUAUAGGUUCCUUUUCUUUAAUAGUUUUCAAAGUGACUCCUACUUUAGAUCCAUAUUGAGUGAUUCGGUUGUGGAUCUUUUUAUCCAAAUUUUCAAUUAACUCUAUAGUAGCAACCUUAUUUUCAAUAAUUUCAAGUCUUUGCAUUACAUGCUCCAAAGUUAACAUAGUUCCAUUAACAAAAAGAGGUGGUGAGCCAAACAAAUCUAUCAUAGCGUUAUAAGAAUCAAAAGUAUGGCUACCCAAUAAGUUCUCUCCGGUAAUGGUAUCAAGGAUAUAUCUGUACCAAGGAGUAGCGCCUACAUAAAAAUUGCGAAGAAGAACGGAAGUGGAUUGCUUCCUGGUAGAUCUAUUUUGAGCAUUGCAAAUUCUAUACCAAGCGUCUUUUAGAUUUUCUCCCUCCCUUUGCUUAAAAUUUAGAACUUCAUUCUCUGGAGACAACGGAGAAGAUAGAGGACUCGCCAUAACAACAAGCAAACGGAAAAGAGGCGAACGGAAAAGAGAGAGAGGAUAGAGAGGGAGAGGGCAAAUAAAACGGUAAGGGUGAAGUGGGGGAGAGGAAAACGAGAGGCAAAUGGCAAAUAAUGUAAUGCGGGAGAUAAGGGUUUGUGAUGGGUACUUGGUAUGUUGACUUUUGUGUAGACCUCCCUAGCAACGGCGCCAGAAAUCCUUCUUGCUACCUCUUGAGCACUGUGUUGGUUUUCCCUUGAAGAGGAAAGGGUGAUGCAGCAAAGUAGCGUAAGUAUUUCCGUCGGUUUUUGAGAACCAAGGUAUCAAUCCAGUAGGAGGCUACGCGCGAGUCCCUCGUACCUACACAAAACAAAUAAAUCCUCGCAACCAACGCGAUGAUGGGUUGUCAAUCCCUACACGGUCACUUACGAGAGUGAGGUCUGAUAGAUAUGAUAAGAUAAUAUUUUCGGUAUUUUUAUGAUAAAGAUGCAAAGCAAAGUAAAAAGCAAAGGAAAUAACUAAGUAUUGGAAGAUUAAUAUGAUGAAGAUAGACCCGGGGGCCAUAGGUUUCACUAGUGGCUUCUCUCAAGAGCAUAAGUAUUUUACGGUGGGUGAACAAAUUACUGUUGAGAAAUUGACAGAAUUGAGCAUAGUUAUGAGAAUAUCUAGGUAUGAUCAUGUAUAUAGGCAUCACGUCCAAGACAAGUAGACCGACUCCUGCCUGCAUCUACUACUAUUACUCCACACAUCGACCACUAUCCAGCAUGCAUCUAGAGUAUUAAGUUCAAGAAAACAGAGUAAAGCUUUAAGCAAAAUGACAUGAUGUAGAGGGAUAAAUUCAUGCAAUAUGAUAAAAAAAACCAUCUUGUUAUCAUCGAUGGCAACAAUACAAUACGUGCCUUGCUGCCCCUACUGUCUCUGGGAAAGGACACCGCAAGAUUGAACCCAAAGCUAAGCACUUCUCCCAUUGCAAGAAAGAUCAAUCUAGUAGGCCAAACCAAACUGAUAAUUUGGAGAGACUUGCAAAGAUAACCAAUCAUACAUAAAAGAAUUCAGAGAAGAUUCAAAUAUUGUUCAUAGAUAAGCUUGAUCAUAAACCCACAAUUCAUCGGUCUCAACAAACACACCACAAAAGAAGAUUACAUCGAAUGGAUCUGCACAAGAGAGGGGGAGAACUUUGUAUUGAGAUCCAAAAAGAGAGGAGAAGCCAUCUAGCUAAUAACUAUGGACCUGAAGGUCUGAGGUAAACUACUCACACUUCAUCGGAGAGGCUAUGGUGUUGAUGUAGAAGCCCUCCAUGAUCGAUGCCCCCUCCGGUGGAGCUCCGGAACAGGCCCCAAGAUGGGAUCUCGUGGAUACAGAAAGUUACGGCGGUGGAAUUAGGGUCUUGGCUCUGUAUUUGAUCGUUUGGGGGUACGUAGGUAUAUAUUGGAGGAAGGAGUACGUCGGUGGAGCAAUAGGGGGCCCACAAGGGUGGAGGGCACGCCUGGGGGGUAGGCGCGCCCCCCUACCUCGUGGCUUCCAUGUUGGUUGCUUCACGGAGGGUCCAAGUCUCCUGGGUCUUGUUCGUUCCGAAAAUCACGUUCCCGAAGGUUUCAUUCCGUUUGGACUCUGUUUGAUAUUCCUUUUCUUCGAAACCCUAAAAUAGGCAAAAAAAAAAAA
rnacentral:lncRNA from 1 species